AAAGCAUCAUAUAAAGAUAAUACCAUACCAGAGUAACAAGAAGGUUUUCCACCAGCUACCGUCAAGCCUCAAAAAUAGAAGGUAUUGUUUGGAGUCUGGUGAAAAACCUUCUUGUUACUCUGGUAUGGUAUUAUCUUUAUAAGA
rnacentral:miRNA from 1 species